AUUGAACGCUGGCGGCAGGCUUAGCACAUGCAAGUCGAGCGGGGGAAGGUAGCUUGCUACCGGACCUAGCGGCGGACGGGUGAGUAAUGCUUAGGAAUCUGCCUAUUAGUGGGGGACAACAUCUCGAAAGGGAUGCUAAUACCGCAUACGUCCUACGGGAGAAAGCAGGGGAUCUUCGGACCUUGCGCUAAUAGAUGAGCCUAAGUCGGAUUAGCUAGUUGGUGGGGUAAAGGCCUAGCAAGGCGACGAUCUGUAGCGGGUCUGAGAGGAUGAUCCGCCACACUGGGACUGAGACACGGCCCAGACUCCUACGGGAGGCAGCAGUGGGGAAUAUUGGACAAUGGGGGGAACCCUGAUCCAGCCAUGCCGCGUGUGUGAAGAAGGCCUUAUGGUUGUAAAGCACUUUAAGCGAGGAGGAGGCUACUUUAGUUAAUACCUAGAGAUAGUGGACGUUACUCGCAGAAUAAGCACCGGCUAACUCUGUGCCAGCCGCCGCAGUAA
rnacentral:rRNA from 1 species